GCUUAGAGUUUGAUCCUGGCUCAGGACGAACGCUGGCGGUGCGCCUUAUGCAUGCAAGUUGAGCGAAGCUUUUUGGUAGUUUACUACUAGAAAUGACUGAGCGGCGAACGGGUGAGUAACGCGUGAGCAAUCUACCUUAGUUACUGGGAUAGCCCGAGGAAACUCGGAUUAAUACCGGAUAUUCUUAUUUUUUCACAUGAAGUUUUAAGGAAAGGUCAGCCGAACUAAGAUGAGCUCGCGUUCUAUCAGCUAGUUGGUGGGGUAAAAGCCUACCAAGGCUACGACGGAUAGCUGGUCUGAGAGGACGAUCAGCCACACUGGGACUGAGACACGGCCCAGACUCCUACGGGAGGCUGCAGUAGGGAAUAUUGUGCAAUGAGCGAAAGCUUGACACAGCGACACCGGCGUGUGGGAUGACG
rnacentral:rRNA from 1 species